ACUUAAGCAUAUCAAUAAGCGGAGGAAAAGAAACCAACAGGGAUUGCCUCAGUAACGGCGAGUGAAGCGGCAACAGCUCAAAUUUGAAAUCUGACCCCUUCGGGGCCCGAGUUGUAAUUUGUAGAGGAUGCUUCGGGUGCGGCGCCGGUCUAAGUUCCUUGGAACAGGACGUCAUAGAGGGUGAGAAUCCCGUAUGCGACCGGCGGCCAACCCCGUGUGAAGCCCCUUCGACGAGUCGAGUUGUUUGGGAAUGCAGCUCAAAAUGGGUGGUAAAUUUCAUCUAAAGCUAAAUACCGGCCAGAGACCGAUAGCGCACAAGUAGAGUGAUCGAAAGAUGAAAAGCACUUUGGAAAGAGAGUCAAACAGUACGUGAAAUUGUUGAAAGGGAAGCGCUUGCAACCAGACCUGCCCGCGGGCGAUCAGCCGUUAUUCUUAGCGGUGCACUCGUCCGCGAUCAGGCCAGCAUCGGUUCGGGCGGCCGGAUAAAGGCCUCAGGAAUGUAGCUCCCCCCGGGGAGUCUUAUAGCCCGGGGUGCAAUGCGGCCAGCCCGGACCGAGGACCGCGCUUCGGCUAGGAUGCUGGCGUAAUGGUUGUAAGCGACCCGUCUUGAAACACGGACC
rnacentral:rRNA from 1 species